rnacentral:misc_RNA from 1 species
GAUGAAGAACGUAGCGAAAUGCGAUACUUGGUGUGAAUUGCAGAAUCCCGUGAACCAUCGAGUCUUUGAACGCAAGUUGCGCCCGAAACCACUAGGCCGAGGGCACGCCUGCCUGGGCGUCACACGUCGUUGCCCCCCCCCCAUCUACUCCUUCGGGAUUGCGGGGGGCGGAUGAUGGCCUCCCGUGCGCCUAGCCGCGCGGUUGGCAUAAAUACCAAGUCCUCGGCGACGCACGCCACGACAAUCGGUGGUUGCGAAACCUCGGUUGCCCGUCGUGUGCGUUCGUCGCGCAUCGAGGGCUCGAAAAAAUGCUCGGCUCCGGCUCGGCUUUCAACGCGACCCCAGGUCAGGCGGGGUUACCCGCUGAAUUUAAGCAUAUCAAUAAGCGGAGGA